ensembl:lncRNA
AUGAAUGUAAAAUUCUUGCCCACAAAGGAAAUAAGUAAAACAGAAGAUAUAUCACCUUGCUCAGAACAACAAGCAACCAAAGAUUUUGAGAACCUUCCAUCAGGACACGACACAAAUAAGCAGCAGUCCAUGUCUGGAUCUAAAGAGAGGGAUGAAACUGGAUCUGUAUUAAGAGAAGAUGACCGCAAAUUCACUCAUGGCUCAUCCUGUGAAUCAUUAAAGCCUGUCUUUACCAUAGUGCUGGACUCUGAUCUUACCAAAUCCAACCAGAUCCCACUGACACAACCUGUCCCAGCUUCUUCAACUAAAUGGGAUACUGUUUCAGUUGUUCAUGAUGGGACUGCAGAGACAUCAGAGGAUGGCUUGAAAUUCUUGGAAGUCAAACCAAAUAUUGAUGUAGCUGUAGAUGAAGAACAUGCUGUAAUAAGCUCUUCUGAUGAACCUGUACAUUUAUAUGCUGAUCUUUCAACAUCAGAAGUGCAGUUUAAAGAAAACAGCCACACCGACAACACUGAACCCACUCAUUCUGCUCUAGACCUUGAUUUCAGACCUAAACCAGAGAAGGACUCAUCUACUCAAGCAUUUGACCCAAUGCUUUUUUACCCAGAGAAGUAUCAAGCAAGCUCUGGAACGGCUAAGAAAGUAUUUACCAUCAUCCUGGAUGUUGAUACUCCUACAUUAUCAUCAGACGGGUAUCAAUUACUGCAAGAGACACAAUGUACAGGUCCUGAUGACUCAACCACAGAUGAAUUCUCCCAUUCAGAUGUAAAAAAUCAACAGAAGAACUCCUUUGGUACUGAGAAACAUGAAGGCAGAACGGCUGAACUAGGUCUUUCAGAAAAGUUCAAUGUGAAAUCAAGUAGCUCUGAAAUGCAGCCAGGACAGAAGGAAGCUCCGCUUAUCCAACCCCAAACCCCUGAGAUCAUAGAGAUUGACGUUCAAAAAGAUGAAAAAGAGAAGCAACAUGAAGUCACUGAUGCAGAAGCAUCAAGCCAAAUGGAUGUCCACACUGGAGAAGGCAGUGAGUCAGGGUCUGUAGUUCACCAGCAGGAUGUCCCAAUGUUGGAGAGUCAUGAUGAGGAUGACAACAACACCUUUGAAGAGCCUUCAAAUGAAGCAAACACACUUCAAAAGCCUCCAAAAGUUGCUAAAGGUAGGAAGAAGAAGAGAAAACCAGUUGGUGCAGAAAAAGCAAACAGUAUCCGUAAUAAAAAGCUGAACACAUGUAAAUCUGAACAUAAGAACACAACUCACUCAGAAAGCCUUCAAACUUCAGAGGUCAGGCUGUCGGAUGCCACCGAUACUGCCUGUGUCAGUACAAAGACUGUGUCUUCAGACUUCAGUCAACCAAACACUGCAAAGCCAUUGAGUACAGAAAACAAACUAACAGUGGACACUGUGCAGAAAGAGACCUUGAAUCAAACUGAGGAUGGACAUUUUGAAAACAUUAGCAUCUCACUUGCCGGAGAUGCCCAUAUUAAUACCACAGAUAUGGUUUUAGCAGCAGUGGAGUCUGUACAGUCAACACAUACAGAGGACUCAGAACUAGCGCCAGAAGAUUCUUCAUCUGAUAGUAUAACACAAUUUUCUACCACAGUCCCAUCAGAGUUACAACUCGGCCAUACUGAAGCUCAGAGGACAGAGGAUUCAGAUGGCAGUUUCCAUUUGCAGGUAAGAUUCACAUAG